rfam:Candidatus Entotheonella sp. TSY1 genomic scaffold TSY1_scaffold00363, whole genome shotgun sequence.
GAGGGAAGGCCCCUCGCAGUCGGUCUGCGGAGGCAGGCUGCAAACCACCGUAAGCGGCUUGGGUUAAGAGCCCCGGUCGUGAGCGUUACGGAAAAGGCACGGCUCGACCGUGUCAGGU